rnacentral:other from 1 species
GGCGCUCGACCUUGUGCGUGAUCUGGCUCAAACUUGAGCCAACACUCAUCGCUUGGGAGGUCUGUUUACCUGAACGGCGUACUACCUUUCAGGGACGGCCACCCACCUGCUCAGGCAGGUUCAAGCGCCUGUCAGACACGGCAAGGUGGAGCACUG